UACGGAGGGUGCAAGCGUUGUUCGGAUUCAUUGGGCGUAAAGGGCGCGUAAGCGGUUUCUUAAGUCUGAUGUGAAAGCCCCGGGCCCAACCCGGGAAGUGCAUUGGAUACUGGGAGACUUGAGUAUGGGAGAGGAGAGUGGAAUUCCUGGUGUAGGAGUGAAAUCCGCAGAUAUCAGGAAGAACACCGGUGGCGAAGGCGGCUCUCUGGACCGAUACUGACGCUGAGGCGCGAAAGCAUGGGGAG
rnacentral:rRNA from 1 species